rnacentral:rRNA from 1 species
AACGAACGCUGGCGGCAGGCUUAACACAUGCAAGUCGAACGCAUCGCAAGAUGAGUGGCAGACGGGUGAGUAACGCGUGGGAACAUACCCUUUCUACGGAAUAGCUCUGGGAAACUGGAAUUAAUACCGUAUACGCCCUACGGGGGAAAGAUUUAUCGGGGAAGGAUUGGCCCGCGUUGGAUUAGCUAGUUGGUGGGGUAAAGGCCUACCGAGGCGACGAUCCAUAGCUGGUCUGAGAGGAUGAUCAGCCACAUUGGGACUGAGACACGGCCCAAACUCCUACGGGAGGCAGCAGUGGGGAAUAUUGGACAAUGGGCGCAAGCCUGAUCCAGCCAUGCCGCGUGAGUGAUGAAGGCCUUAGGGUUGUAAAGCUCUUUCACCGAUGAAGAUAAUGACGGUAGUCGGAGAAGAAGCCCCGGCUAACUUCGUGCCAGCAGCCGCAGUAAAAC